rnacentral:rRNA from 1 species
GUUGGUGAUGGCGUGCCUUUUGAAGAAUGAGCCUGCGAGUUAUGGUGUGUGGCGAGGUUAACCGGUGGCGGGUAGCCGUAGCGAAAGCGAGUCUGAAUAGGGCGUUUGAGUCGCAUGCUGUAGACCCGAAGCGGGGUGAUCUAGCCAUGGGCAGGGUGAAGCGCCGGUAAGACGGUGUGGAGGCCCGAACCCACCAGGGUUGAAAACCUGGGGGAUGACCUGUGGUUAGGGGUGAAAGGCCAAUCAAACUCCGUGAUAGCUGGUUCUCCCCGAAAUGCAUUUAGGUGCAGCGUUGCGUGUUUCUUGCCGGAGGUAGAGCUACUGGAUGGCUGAUGGGCCCUACAAGGUUACUGACGUCAGCCAAACUCCGAAUGCCGGUAAGUGAGAGCGUGGCAGUGAGACUGCGGGGGAUAAGCUUCGUAGUCGAGAGGGAAACAGCCCAGAUCAUCGGCUAAGGCCCCUAAGCGUGUGCUAAGUGGGAAAGGAUGUGGAGUUGCUCUGACAACCAGGAGGUUGGCUUAGAAGCAGCCAUCCUUGAAAGAGUGCGUAAUAGCUCACUGGUCAAGUGAUUCCGCGCCGACAAUGUAGCGGGGCUCAAGCACACCGCCGAAGCCGUGGCACUCCAGACGUGUGUUUGGGGUGGGUAGGGGAGCGUCCUGCAGCCGGUGAAGCCGCCGAGUGAUCGAGUGGUGGAGGCUGUGGGAGUGAGAAUGCAGGCAUGAGUAGCGAGUCAAGAGUGAGAAACUCUUGCGCCGGAUGACCAAGGGUUCCUGGGGCAGGCUAAUCCGCCCAGGGUAAGUCGGGACCUAAGGCGAGGCCGACAGGCGUAGUCGAUGGACAACGGGUUGAUAUUCCCGUACCCGCUGGUAUGCGCCAACGCUGAACCCUCUGAUGCUAACCAUCCGAACCCUGCGUUGAGCCUUCGGGCUUGUCGUGGGGGGAGCGUGGGACCCGAGGGGGUAGUAGGUGAGUGAUGGGGUGACGCAGGAGGGUAGCUCAGCCCAGGCGAUGGUUGUCCUGGGGUAAGCAUGUAGCCCGCGCUGUAGGCAAAUCCGCAGCGCAUUCAAGGGUGAGAUGUGAUGCCGAGCCGUUUUAGGUGAAGUGAGUGAUCCCAUGCUGUCGAGAAAAGCCUCUAGCGAGUGUACUGGCGGCCCGUACCCUAAACCGACUCAGGUGGUCAGGUAGAGAAUACC